rnacentral:rRNA from 1 species
UUUGGCGGCUAUUGCAGUGAGGCUCACCUCUUACCAUUCCGAACAGAGAAGUUAAGCUCACUUGCGCAGAUGGUACUGGGGUAACUCCUGGGAGAGUAUGUCGUCGCCAGUU